rnacentral:rRNA from 1 species
UACGGAGGGAGCUAGCGUUGUUCGGAAUUACUGGGCGUAAAGCGCACGUAGGCGGCUUUGUAAGUUAGGGGUGAAAGCCCGGAGCUCAACUCCGGAAUUGCCUUUAAGACUGCAUCGCUUGAAUCCGGGAGAGGUGAGUGGAAUUCCGAGUGUAGAGGUGAAAUUCGUAGAUAUUCGGAAGAACACCAGUGGCGAAGGCGGCUCACUGGACUGGUAUUGACGCUGAGGCGCGAAAGCCAGGGGAGCAAACGGG